GAACAAGAGCGAGCUAGGACUGACUCAUGUUUGGCUCGAACACGAGCGGGCUCGUUAAAGUAUCGAGUUGAAAAAUUUAGCUCGGCUCGUUUAUUAAUGAACCGAACACGAGCUGACUCGCGAACAAAAGUUAAAAGAAUUAGAAAGAAUAUAUAUAGAAAAUAAAUUUAUAAAAUCUUACACGUUAGAUUUUGCUCUAAUAGUUGAAAUUUUACGUAUAAAUGGGUCUUUUUAUAAUUGAGUCGGACUUUAUAUUUAGGUUGGGCGAAAAAUCAAAUAUUAAAAAUUUGUAUUAUA
rnacentral:lncRNA from 1 species